AACGAACGCUGGCGGCAGGCUUAACACAUGCAAGUCGAGCGCCCCGCAAGGGGAGCGGCAGACGGGUGAGUAACGCGUGGGAAUCUACCCAUCUCUACGGAAUAACGCAUGGAAACGUGUGCUAAUACCGUAUACGUCCUUCGGGAGAAAGAUUUAUCGGAGAUGGAUGAGCCCGCGUUGGAUUAGCUAGUUGGUGGGGUAAAGGCCUACCAAGGCGACGAUCCAUAGCUGGUCUGAGAGGAUGAUCAGCCACACUGGGACUGAGACACGGCCCAGACUCCUACGGGAGGCAGCAGUGGGGAAUAUUGGACAAUGGGCGCAAGCCUGAUCCAGCCAUGCCACGUGAGUGAUGAAGGACCUAGGGUUGUAAAGCUCUUUCACCGGUGAAGAUAAUGACGGUAACCGGAGAAGAAGCCCCGGCUAACUUCGUGCCAGCCGCCGCCGUAAUAC
rnacentral:rRNA from 1 species